ACGCAGAACUCUGCCGCUUCCGGCGGUAGCCUUCAACUCCCGCGCCGCCCAACCACACGUGCCCGACUGGCCUCCAGUAGAUCUGGCGGCCGCCGCGUAGAACAGAAUGCGCGCCGUUCCUGGCCAUGUGAAGGUUGCCGCGGUUGAGGCCAACUCCGGCCUCCCCGUGGGAAGAUUCGCCUCCCUGUGCCACCUCCCCGUUCGGCGGAUUCAUCCGGUUCAACCCCGGCCAGCAGCCCCCUUCCUGUUCGGCCGCGGGUGCUCCGCGCUCUCCGCCGGGCACGGAUGCAUGCUCCAGUACGCGCUGCUCCGCCUCGCCUGAUACAGCGGCGUCACAGCAUUGGAAAGUCACCAUAGAUGAGAGUGCAUCUCCUGAAAGCCGAAUGUAAUGACAAUACACAGAGUAUGCUCUAUGCAAAGAAUUGCCACCAGGAGGCUGCUGGGACAAUGGCAUAAUUUCAGAGGAGCUUCCUUCUGGGUGGGAGAAUGCCCUUCGAGUUAGUGUUCUGGACUCCACGUCCGCCCAUUCAAUAUUUCAUCCGAUGUCAAUAACAUAUGUUGGAUUUUCAUUGUUCUGUUCUGUUUGUUUGCUUUUGCUGAUAGCCCUUCUGAUUCUUCAGGGAAAUGUUCUGAAUCGUAGGCGAAUGUUCUUGCUAGAUUUACCAGGAUUUCUUGGAUAGCGCUGAUCUUGCAACAUCAAAUAUGCCUUCUGCAUUGUGUUAUUUUCCUUCUUUGUUUUCGAAUUAUCUGCCUUCUGCAACA